AACGAACGCUGGCGGCAGGCCUAACACAUGCAAGUCGAACGCCCCGCAAGGGGAGUGGCAGACGGGUGAGUAACACGUGGGAACGUACCCUUCGGUUUGGGAUAACUCAGGGAAACUUGAGCUAAUACCGGAUACGUCCGAGAGGAGAAAGAUUUAUCGCCGAGGGAUCGGCCCGCGUCUGAUUAGCUUGUUGGUGAGGU
rnacentral:rRNA from 1 species